AUUGAACGCUGGCGGCAGGCCUAACACAUGCAAGUCGAACGAGUGGCGGACGGGUGAGUAAUGUCUGGGAAACUGCCUGAUGGAGGGGGAUAACUACUGGAAACGGUCGCUAAUACCGCAUACCAUCAGAUGUGCCCCGAUGGGAUUAGCUUGUUGGUGGGGUAACGUCUCACCAAGGCGACGAUCCCUAGCUGGUCUGAGAGGAUGACCGGCCACACGGGAAGUGUGACGCGGUCAAGACUCAUACGGGAGGCAGGAGUGGGGAAUAGUGCACAAUGGGGGAAAGCCUGAUGCAGCCAUGCCGCGUGUAUGAAGAAGGCCUUCGGGUUGGAAAGUACUUUCAGCGGGGAGGCGUUACCCGCAGAAGAAGCACCGGCUAACUCCGUGCCAGCCGCCGCGGUAAUAC
rnacentral:rRNA from 1 species